rnacentral:rRNA from 1 species
UUUAAAGUCUGACCUGCCCAAUGAGGAUUUGAAUGGCCGCGGUAUUUUGACCGUGCAAAGGUAGCAUAAUCAUUAGUUUUUUAAUUGAAAGCUGGAAUGAAUGGUUGGACGAGAAAAUAACUGUCUCAAUUUAAUUUUAGUUAGAAUUUUAUUUUUAAGUAAAAAAGCUUAAAUAAGUUUAAAAGACGAGAAGACCCUAUAGAGUUUUAUAAUUAUUAAAUAUAAAUAAUUUAGUAUGUUUGGAAUUUAUAUUAAUAUAAUUAUUUUGUUGGGGUGACAGAAAAAUUGGUGUAACUUUUUUUAUAUUUUAACAUUAGUUUAUGAUUAUUUGAUCCGUUAUUUACGAUUAUAAGAUUAAAUUACCUUAGGGAUAACAGCGUAAUUUUUUUUGAGAGUUCAUAUCGAAAAGAAAGUUUGCGACCUCGAUGUUGGAUUAAAAUUAACUUUUGGUGCAGAAGCUAGAAGGUUAGGUCUGUUCGACCUUUAAAAUUUUACAUGAUCUGAGUUUAAACCGGCGUGAGCCAGGUUGGUUUCUAUCUUUAAAUAUAAAAAAUACUUUAGUACGAAAGGACCAAGUAUUUAUAAAAUUUAUUAGUUUUGAUUAUUAUUA